rnacentral:rRNA from 1 species
GAUGAACGCUGGCGGCGUGCCUAAUACAUGCAAGUCGAGCGGACGGACGCGACGCUUGCUUCUCUGUUGUUAGCCGCGCACGGGUGAGUAACACGUGUAUAACCUACCUAUAAUACUGGUAUAACUUCGAGAAACCGGAGCUAAUACCGGAUGAUCUCUUGCACCGCAUGGUUCAAAAGUGAAAUACGGUCUUGCUGUCACUUCUAGAUGGAUCCGCGCUGCUUGAGCUAGUUGGUAAGUUAAUGGCUUACCACGGGAACGAGGCGUGGCCGACCUGAUAGGCGGAUCGCCCGCACUGGAGCGGGACCACGGUCAUGACUCCUACGGGAGGGCGCAGUAGGGAAUCUUCCGCAAUGGGCGAAAACCUGGCGGAACAACGCCGCGUGAGUGAUGAAGGUCUUCGGAUCGUAAAACUCUGUUAUUAGGGAAGAACAUAUGUGGAAGGAACUGUGCACAUCUUGACGGUAACUAAUCAGAAAGCCACGGCUAACUACGUG